rnacentral:rRNA from 1 species
UACGGAGGAUGCAAGUGUUAUCCGGAAUCACUGGGCGUAAAGCGUCUGUAGGUGGUUUGCUAAGUCCGCUGUUAAAGCUUGAAGCUCAACUUCGAAAAUGCAGUGGAAACUAGUAGACUUGAGUGUGGUAGGGGUAGAGGGAAUUUCCAGUGAAGUGGUGAAAUGCGUAGAUAUUGGAAAGACCACCAAUGGCGAAGGCACUCUACUGGGCCACAACUGACACUGGAGAGACGAAAGCUAGGGGAGCGAAU